rnacentral:rRNA from 1 species
UACGUAGGGGGCGAGCGUUUGUCCGGAAUUAUUGGGCGUAAAGAGCGUGUAGGCGGUUCGGUAAGUCUGCCGUGAAAACCUGGGGCUCAACCCCGGGCGUGCGGUGGAUACUGCCGGGCUAGAGGGUGGUAGAGGCGAGUGGAAUUCCUGGUGUAGCGGUGGAAUGCGCAGAUAUCAGGAGGAACACCGAUGGCGAAGGCGGUCCCCUGGGCCGGAACUGACGCUGAGCCGCGAAAGCCAGGGGAGCGGAACGGG